UCUCUCUCUCUCUCUCUCUUCCAUACGCUUUAUCGCCCGCCCGUGGAUCAUGGGAGAGAGGAGAAUCGAUUUUUACGCGCUCGUCUUUUUUCUCCACUCGCUUCUGUUUUUUUCUCCCCGUCCCGCGUGAAGCAUCAGGCGUGAAAGUUCAUUUAUUAUUGGUUGGGCAACGCUUCGGAAGAAAGACGCAGCGUGUGUACUGGUACUUGCGCAACGCUCGGACGCAACUUUAAAUCGGGCAGAUAAAGUGUCAACUACGGAGGUGCGCAUGCGCGGAAGCGCUAAAUUUCAAACGGCCGCGGGAAGAUGUUAUGUACCGUUGAACGACUCACAACAGCCGCGCACGUCGAUCCUCGCCCGAUACCUUAUCGACAAUGGUUAACGGUACAGUCGAAACGAAGCUCGAGCGGGAGUGCGACUCUCCGUACACGUCGUCGAGAGCUGAGCAAAGGCAGAUUAUUCGCCGGAGAGGUGGGUAGAAUACGUACUAGAUACUGCGUGGAAACUCCUCCCACGGGCAGACGGACUCAAGCGGCACUCGGCCGAAUCUGCAAAAUAUUCUGGCGAAGGUAGGAGGACGCAAAUGUGAGGUUAACAAAAAUA
rnacentral:lncRNA from 1 species